rnacentral:rRNA from 1 species
AUUGAACGCUGGCGGCAGGCCUAACACAUGCAAGUCGAGCGGAUGAGGAGAGCUUGCUCUCUGAUUUAGCGGCGGACGGGUGAGUAAUGCCUAGGAAUCUGCCUGGUAGUGGGGGAUAACGUCCGGAAACGGGCGCUAAUACCGCAUACGUCCUACGGGAGAAAGCAGGGGACCUUCGGGCCUUGCGCUAUCAGAUGAGCCUAGGUCGGAUUAGCUAGUUGGUGAGGUAAUGGCUCACCAAGGCUACGAUCCGUAACUGGUCUGAGAGGAUGAUCAGUCACACUGGAACUGAGACACGGUCCAGACUCCUACGGGAGGCAGCAGUGGGGAAUAUUGGGCAAUGGGCGAAAGCCUGAUCCAGCCAUGCCGCGUGUGUGAAGAAGGUCUUCGGAUUGUAAAGCACUUUAAGUUGGGAGGAAGGGCAGUAAGUUAAUACCUUGCUGUUUUGACGUUACCGACAGAAUAAGCACCGGCUAACUUCGUGCCAGCAGCCGCCUAACAC